rnacentral:tmRNA from 1 species
GGGGCCGACCGGUUUCGACAGCAUGGACCGGAGGCAUGCCUGCACGUCGGGCGAUGGGAGUAUCCCGUAAAUCUACCUCCCAAACAAUAAAUGGCGAAUCUAACUACGCCCUUGCUGCCUAAUCAAGGAUUACGGUAGCAAGUACCCGGGGCUUGAGGCGCCCUGCUCCCGGUGCUUCGCCCACUUGUAAGGGUAUCAAAACGGAACGGAGCUAUGCCCAAAAGAGUGCCGCGCUCUUGCGGGCGAGACACACACGCGGCUUGGGGGUGUUUCAGGUGGUUGCCUACCAUGGCACCCCGACAUAAGAAGUGGCAACUAAGCGUGUAGACGGCAUGUUGCCGGCAUGCCUGGACGAGGGUUCGAGUCCCUCCGGCUCCACAA